rnacentral:rRNA from 1 species
UGGGGAAUAUUGCACAAUGGGCGCAAGCCUGAUGCAGCCAUGCCGCGUGUGUGAAGAAGGCCUUCGGGUUGUAAAGCACUUUCAGCGGGGAGGAAGGCGGUGAGGUUAAUAACCUCAUCGAUUGACGUUACCCGCAGAAGAAGCACCGGCUAACUCCGUGCCAGCAGCCGCGGUAAUACGGAGGGUGCAAGCGUUAAUCGGAAUUACUGGGCGUAAAGCGCACGCAGGCGGUCUGUCAAGUCGGAUGUGAAAUCCCCGGGCUCAACCUGGGAAAUGCAUUCGAAACUGGCAGGCUAGAGUCUUGUAGAGGGGGGUAGAAUUCCAGGUGUAGCGGUGAAAUGCGUAGAGAUCUGGAGGAAUACCGGUGGCGAAGGCGGCCCCCUGGACAAAGACUGACGCUCAGGUGCGAAAGCGUGGGGAGCAAACAGG